GUUGCGGCGCCUGGUGUCUCAGGGAGGCUUGAGGUUCGGGUAGUCGGUGACAUGGCGGAGGCCGCGGCGCUGGUGUGGAUUAGCGGCCCUGGCUUCGGGUGCAAAGCGGUGCGGUGUGCCUCGGCUCGGUGCACCGUCCGGGAUUUUAUCCACUGGCACUGCCAAGAUCAGAAUGUUCCAGUGGAAAACUUCUUUGUGAAAUGCAAUGGAGCACUCAUUAACACCAGUGACACAGUGCAGCAUGGAGCUGUUUAUAGUUUGGAACCCAGACUUUGCGGUGGAAAAGGAGGUUUUGGAUCUAUGCUCCGAGCACUUGGUGCUCAGAUUGAGAAGACAACCAAUCGAGAAGCCUGUCGGGAUCUCAGUGGAAGGAGACUACGCGAUGUCAAUCAUGAAAAAGCAAUGGCUGAAUGGGUAAAACAACAAGCCGAGCGAGAGGCUGAAAAGGAGCAGAAGAGGCUGGAGCGACUGCAGCGGAAGCUUGUAGAACCCAAGCACUGCUUCACCAGCCCCGACUACCAGCAGCAGUGCCAUGAGAUGGCUGAGCGUCUGGAGGAUUCUGUCCUCAAAGGUAUGCAGGCUGCCUCCAGCAAGAUGGUUUCAGCAGAAAUCAGUGAGAAUCGGAAACGGCAAUGGCCUACUAAAUCUAAAACAGACAGGGGAGCCAGUGCGGGAAAGAGGAGAUGCUUCUGGUUGGACAUGGAGGGACUAGAGACUGCAGAAGGGUCCAGCUCUGAGAGUUCAGAUGAUGACAGUGAAGAAGCACCAAGCACUUCAGGAAUGGGUUUCCAUGCUCCAAAAAUUGGUAGCAAUGGUGUCGAGAUGGCAGCCAAAUUUCCCAGUGGUUCUCAGAGGGCGAGAGUAGUGAAUACAGACCCUGGAUCACCAGAACAACUGCAGAUCCCGGUGACAGACUCUGGGAGGCGUAUUUCAGAAGACUCAUGUGCUGAGCUGGGGGAGUCCAAAGAGCAUAUGGAAAGCAGGAUGGCUACAGAAACAGAAAAGACCCAGGAGAAGAAGGCAGAGAGUAAAGAACCCAUAGAAGAGGAACCCACUGGGGCUGGACUGAAUAAGGAUAAAGAGACAAAAGAAAGGACUGAUGGGGAAAGAGUUGCUGAGGUAGCACCUGAAGAAAGGGAAAACGUUGCCAUUGCCAAACUGCAGGAUAGCCAGCCAGGAAAUGCAGUGCUGAGAAAGGAUGUUAAAAUCUUCAAUUACGAUUGUGGAAUUGUCUCUUUCUUUCUUAAAUUCUACCAGUUUUUGUAUGAAGCUCUAAUAACUUAUGUCUUCCUAAUGUAUUGACCAUUUUAUUAUUAUGAAAUUUCCCUCUGUCUCUGGUAAUUUGGGUUUGAAAUCUACUUUGUCUUAUGUGAAUAUAGCCACUGCAGCCUUCUUAAGCUUAGUGUUUGCACAGUAUACCUCUUUCUAUUAAUUUACUUUGUGCUUCUGUGCCUAUUUAAAGUAGUUUCCUUAAACAACAUAUACUUGAGUCUUGCAUUUUUAUCUAUUCUCUCUGUACCUUUUAAUAAGUUUAUUAACAUUAAAUGUAAUUAUUGAUAGGUUUCUAAUAUUUUACAUGUUUCCUGUUAAGAUUGUUUUAUAAUUGUAUUUUAAUUUAUUGGCUCUUUACCUAUACUGGUGUAAUAAUUUUUUUAAGUUGGAUGUUCUAGUAAUUACAAUAUACAUUCUUAAUUUUUCAGUCUACCUAGAGUUGAUGUGCCACUUCACGUAAAAUGUAGAAAUCUUCAUCCAGAUCAAGAAACAGAACAUUAUAAGAACUCCAAAGCCCUGGAGACCCCUUCUGGUCACCACCUUCCAAGGUUUCUUCAUCUGGGAGGACCCUCUGCACCCCCUGGGUUUAGAGAAGAGAUGACCGUUCAGCAAAAGCACCUGAAGACAGCGCUACAGAUGCACGGUCAGCGCCGUGAUUCCCAUGUCUGAAGCGACCCCUGCUGGCUGCCGGCCCGGGCUCAGGGUCCACCGAAGCCAGUCUCCAGCCCCUACUUCUGUGCUUCCUGGAGGGCACUGCCCCGGAGCCUGGGCAGCUGCAGAUUUCUCUUUUAAACACUGACUUCCUCUCUUGAGUAAAAGUUGUGGGUCUGCAGCUGCCUUCUGAAGACCCAUGGAGAGGUCCACUCAGGGAGGACGUGAUGCCUUCUGCAAAGAACCAAAGAGGAGCUGAAGCCUUCAGCCAACAGCCAUGUGAGUGAAUCCUGCAGGUGGAUCCUCGGGCCCCAGGUAAGCCUUCAGCCGACUACAGCCCUAGCCGACAUCUUCAUGGCAACCUCAUGGGAAACCCCGAGCCAGAACCAUGCAGCUAAACUGUUUCUGGAUUCUUCAUCCAUAGGAACAGUGAGACAAUAAAUGCUUGGUGUUUAAGCCACCAAGUCAAGAUAAUUUGUUACACAGCAAUCUUUCUCUGGAGAGGUUCUGGUGGACGUCUCCAAAAGGCUUCAUAAGUGUCCUUCUCCUAUAUUAUCUGAUGAUGGCCUCUUCCCCCCAUGGCUCCAGGUACCACCUACAUGCUGUGCUGAUGUUGCCCAGGGUCAUGGUUCCAUAACUUCUCCUCCCAGAUUUCCCACAGGCUCCUCAUCACUCAGACAGAACCUGAUGUCUUCUCCCUUGAAAUCUGGACCCGCCUCCUCUUACAGGCUGGGAGUCUCCUCUGCCACAUCUACUCAGUCCUUGGUCACCAUAGACUCACCUCCUGGAUUGCUAGUGGCUUUAUCCCAUUUGCUACUGCCAUGAUUCAGGUCCCACAAUUUUUCUUCUGUGUGACUACAGAGGCCACUCCUCCUGGCCUCCUUUCCUCCAUUCCACACAAGGCUGCUGAGCGAGCUUUUCAAACCAUGACUGUCUCAGAAAACCCACUGUCUUCAGAAUAAAGUGGAAACUGCUGA